ensembl:miRNA gga-mir-1650 gga-mir-1650
GGAAGCUCUGCCAGUGGCAAGCUGAAGGCCAGGGAGCAGCCACAGCAGCUAACUCCUCUGAGCUCAGCUUCGCCUCUGCCAGUCUCUCUGUCC